AACGAACGCUGGCGGCAUGCCUAACACAUGCAAGUCGAACGAGACCUUCGGGUCUAGUGGCGCACGGGUGCGUAACGCGUGGGAACCUGCCCUUAGGUUCGGAAUAACUCCCCGAAAGGGGUGCUAAUACCGGAUAAUGUCUUCGGACCAAAGAUUUAUCGCCUUUGGAUGGGCCCGCGUUGGAUUAGCUAGUUGGUAGGGUAAAAGCCUACCAAGGCGACGAUCCAUAGCUGGUCUGAGAGGAUGAUCAGCCACACUGGGACUGAGACACGGCCCAGACUCCUACGGGAGGCAGCAGUGGGGAAUAUUGGACAAUGGGCGAAAGCCUGAUCCAGCAAUGCCGCGUGAGUGAUGAAGGCCUUAGGGUUGUAAAGCUCUUUAACCCGGGAUGAUAAUGACAGUACCGGGAUAAUAAGCUCCGGCUAACUCCGUG
rnacentral:rRNA from 1 species